rnacentral:lncRNA from 1 species
GUCCGCGGUGCAGCCGUGCUGGGCGGGCUGCGCGCCGCGCAUCGCCAUGUCUCCGGGCGUCCCUCUUCUGCUCGGGCUCGUGUUUUGCCGGGACCAAGGGAUUUGGGCACAGACCGACCUACCUGAAGUCUACCAAAACCCUCUUGAAGAAAGAUCCCUUGCCGUCGUGUCUGGGACUUCUGCCAUCGAGCUCCUCCCGCUCCUCUUCCUCCUCUUCUUUUUCAUCUGCCUGUGCUGCUGUGGAGGCCAACAGGGUUCCACUGAUAAUGAGACCAAGAGCCAACCGGAUUUUAACAGCUCUAACCCUGGCAUGGACUUCUCAGAAGAAAAUCCCGACGAUGUCUCGGUGCACCUCCCACCAGAGGAGGACAGGCAGAGGGACAUGCAGGUGAGUCUCCCCACCUCCCCUGACCCCUCCCCUGGCCCCUCCCCCGGGGCUCACCCCUCACUUUGUGUCUCCCAGGUCACCCCGAGGAAUGCCCAUGGGGCUCUUCUGAGUCCUCCGCUGAGCCGCACCAGGAUUCCUUCAUGGAGAGUGAGGUUUCACUCCCAUCUUGCAGCCCUGAGGACUCCUCAGUAUAGCCCCGCAUGGACCCGCCUUCACUUCAUCCAGAGAGCGGAGCUGGAGCUGGCUGUGUGCCCUCCAUGGCGCAAGGGCCCCUUAAGGAGUGUGUGAGUCAUCAUCUUGUGUGUGAGUGUGUGCGUGCACCUGCCCAGUGCGUCUGACUCUUU